rnacentral:lncRNA from 1 species
GUGAUUUUUUUGCAGGCUGGUUCACGAAUAUUGUGUGUGUUCUAAUGUUGAAUUACAACUUCACGUGUACCCUGCCAGCAGGUGAUUACUGAAUGCUCAAGUGCAUUGUAUUGAGCUGUAGGCUAUUUGGGUUUGGUUAGGCAGAGCAUUAGAAGGUCAAUGCCUUUUUUUUCAGUAGCAUUGAGUCUAUUAGUAAUCCAGUAGAAAUUGUUCCCUCUUCACUAGUAGCCCCAACUGUCUUUUUUUUUGUUCAGUAGUAUUUAUCAUUAUAAUUUUUCUCCCUUCAAUAAUAGCACCUAAGUUGCAGGAAUCGGAGCGAUCAGCCACUUGCGAACUUUCGUGGAUGGCGCAGGUGUUGGAGGGCCGUGACCUCUGAGAGCUCCACUGUGCUAGGAAGAAAAGAUAUAAUUUGACUGCAUAGUGAUGAAAUGUUUCCCUAGCCACAAAGGAUUCAACCAGCUGUGAAUAAGAUUAUAUGUCAUGUUACUAAUAAGAGAAAUACCAGUUACUAAAAGGAACAAAUCUACUGAAAGAUGUUGCCUAUUGUAAUUGAGAAAUGUUUUGGUAAAAGAUGUGAAAUGUUUUUGUAAUCAAGUAGGCUAUAGUAGUAUAGAGAUCAGUAGUAUUGAGGUAUGGUUUUGUAAUCAAGCAGGC